UGUCCCACUCCCUUUUUCCAUCAACAACAUGAUUGCUGAUGUGUUUUUUGGACAUUGCUUCUCUACGGAGGCUGCCAUGUGCCAGAGGCUGCUCAGAGGCUCCCAGGCCAUGGCAGAAUUCCACAGCACCUCCUGGCCUCAGGUGCCGCUCUACAACACUUUCCCAUCCCUGCUGAGGCACUGAAGCACUAUGUUAAUGAGAAUGCUGGUGGCACUAACACUUGCAGGAUCUAUGACCACUUAUUAAAGAUGAGAUCAGGAACCAUCAGAAGAGCUGGGUGCCUGCAGAGCCACAGAACUUCAUUGAUGCAUGCCUAGCUCAGAUGUUAAAGGCAAAGAAUGACCCACUCUCCGCAUUCAGAGAGACCAACAUGGUGCAAGCGAUCACAUAUCUCAUCAUAGCAGGCUCAGACACUGCCACUAUCACUUUAUGGUGAGCUCUCCAUGAUGGUAUAUCUGGAAG